rnacentral:lncRNA from 1 species
CUUGAUCUGCACACUUUACGUGCCUAUAGGGGGUCAACUAGCAGAUAUUUUAACGAAAGGGCUAGCAAGUACCAUAUUCCAAGCAAUCAUGAGCAAGCUGGGAAUGGAAAAUAUCUAUUCACGAGCUUGAGGAGGAGUUGUGGAAUUCCGGGUUUAUGGAUGAUUGUAGGAUGAAAUUAGAAGAUAUUAUAGGCUGUAAUUAGAGAUUUGCUAGCUGUAAAUAGCUGUAGAUUAUUUUUCUAUAGAUAGAAGAUAGUUUCCUCUCUUGUGGGAUCUGAUAGAGUUUUUUAAGGAAUUAUCAGGCUGUUGGUAAUCUCCUAUUUCCCUAUAAAUGUAUAUUUCUGCAGAGUAAAUAAUAUGAAAGAAAAUUCUCACAAUUUUCUUCAUGGUAUCAGAGCAAUUCCGCCUAGACGUAUCACUUCUUUCUCGGUUUUAAUCCAGAACCAAUUUUCUGGGUGCAAACCAAUC